CUAUUUAAAAGCUUCACAUUUGUAUUUUUCUGGGAUUGACUAUUUGUUAAGGAUAAAGUGAUUUAUAUCUACAAACAAAUUGGUUACGUUUGCAUUAUGCGUUUAGAAGUUAUGGGCGACGAAAGUCAGUUAUUGUGAACAUGUACUCAUCAUUGCUCCCCACUGUAUAUAUAUAUAUAUUCUUGAUCAGCAUCAAUAGCCGAGUCGAU